CUUCAGGGCAAGAUGUGUGACAGAGGUGGCAUCGAGCUCUUACAGUCCAAGAACGAAAAUGGGUGAAGAUCACUGGACUGACAUCAACCACACAGGAUCUCUUUUAGUGGCCCGUGGGCCAUAUGUGGUCACUUGAUUAGGCACAAAUUGUGGCAUUGGAUGAGAUCAAGUCCUCUCAUGCAAAUGGCCAUGACGACCAGAAUAAAAAGAAAAGGAGGAGCAGAAGUAAAAGCCGGAGCCCAGGCUCUAAGAAGAGAAGAAGCAGAA